UAUUUGAUGUGUUUAUUCUAUGGUUUCGUAUGCAUGAAUCACGGUUUCAUUUAUUAUGGUUUAAAUUAUGGUGAACCCGAUGUUGUGUUGUUUUAUUUAGUGUUCAUUACUAGUUUACGUGUUUAUGUUUGAUUGGAUAAUUGAGACCAAGAAAAAUGAAAAAAGUUAUGUGAAUUGAUUAAUGGAUAAUAUCGACAGCCUAACUAGAUAUCCUGGGAGAUGGUGG
rnacentral:lncRNA from 1 species